rnacentral:rRNA from 1 species
GUUUGCCUAGCCUAACUGCUACGAAAGCACACAGAAGAGACAGCUAAGAAUAGUCCAGCCCUCUAUCCAAGAAGGGGGGGAACGCUUAGCUGCUCUAUUUUCAAAGCAGUCGAAGGUGGCCUUAACCCUACUUAACGUACGUUCUAGAGAUCGAACGCUUAGGUCCCACGCGGCGGUACCGGCUCGUGGAGCGCAGCUAGAAGCCGUGCCUCUUCCUGGCGCACUUGACGGGCAAGAUGAAGUUCUAGCCGCGCACGGCCGUGCCGCUGGCGACGAGGGCGGACGUGUUGUUCGGCAGACAGAGCGGGUGCGACGACGAGACGUUGUACAUGGUCGCGGGGCUGUACUAGUGGGGCCCGCACCUGCGCGUCCCGUUGGGGUAGCUGGGGCAGUUCUAGGUCCCGCUGAAGCUCCUGAAGAUGCUCCUGUAGAAGCUGCUCGAGUCGUUCGUGCCGCUCCAGCUCUUGGACGUGCAGACGCUGUUGGAGCGGCUGGUGGAGUAACCGUUGCAGAUGCACGUCAAGUCCCUCCUCCUGGUCCGGCGGUUCCGGGAGGUCCGCGACGUCCCCUCCAAGAUGAGCCCGGCGGGGUAGUAACGACUCAAGAGCGGGCAGUGGCUGAAGUCCCUCCGGUGGACGGCCGUCAAACUCCUCGUGUUGACGUUGGCGCCUCCCAUGACGUUGAAGUACGUACAGUUCCUCUAUCCGUCCCUGGACUCCUUCUCCGACAUACCCGUGGACGUAUCCAGGCCCUCCUCGGUGUCGUCCUCGUCGGCCUCGGGCUCGGGGAUGGCAGUGGUACGGUCCCUGGCACUAGCGAGGAGUGCCAGAUCCCUGGCGCCGCUGAUGAUA